GACGUAGGGCGCGAGCGUUGUCCGGAUUUAUUGGGCGUAAAGAGCUCGUAGGCGGCUUGUCGCGUCGACUGUGAAAUCCCGCGGCUCAACUGCGGGUCUGCAGUCGAUACGGGCAGGCUAGAGUUCGGUAGGGGAGACUGGAAUUCCUGGUGUAGCGGUGAAAUGACGCAGAUAUCAGGAGGAACACCGAUGGCGAAGGCAGGUCUCUGGGCUGUAACUGACGCUGAGGAGCGAAAGCAUGGGGAGCGAACAGG
rnacentral:rRNA from 1 species